UACGAAGGGGGCUAGCGUUGCUCGGAAUCACUGGGCGUAAAGCGCACGUAGGCGGCUUUCUAAGUCAGGGGUGAAAUCCUGGAGCUCAACUCCAGAACUGCCUUUGAUACUGGAAAGCUUGAGUUCGGGAGAGGUGAGUGGAACUGCGAGUGUAGAGGUGAAAUUCGUAGAUAUUCGCAAGAACACCAGUGGCGAAGGCGGCUCACUGGCCCGAUACUGACGCUGAGGUGCGAAAGCGUGGGGAGCAAACAGGG
rnacentral:rRNA from 1 species